rnacentral:rRNA from 1 species
AGUCUCAGUUCGGAUUGAAGGCUGAAAUUCGCCUUCAUGAAGCCGGAAUUGCUAGUAAUGGCAGGUCAGCAUACUGCCGUGAAUACGUUCCCGGGCCUUGUACACACCGCCCGUCACACCAUGAGAGUCGGGAACACCCGAAGUCCGUAGCCUAACCGCAAGGGGGCGCGGCCGAAGGUGGGUUCGAUAAUUGGGGUGAAGUCGUAACAAGGUACC